rnacentral:piRNA from 1 species
UUCUGCAGUGACCUCACGAUGACGCC